rnacentral:rRNA from 1 species
GACGAACGCUGGCGGCGUGCUUAACACAUGCAAGUCGAGCGGUAAGGCCCUUUCGGGGGUACACGAGCGGCGAACGGGUGAGUAACACGUGGGUGACCUGCCCUCAGCUCUGGGAUAAGCCUGGGAAACCGGGUCUAAUACUGGAUAUGACUCCAUGACGCAUGUUGUGGGGUGGAAAGCCUUGUGCGGCUGAGGAUGGGCCCGCGGCCUAUCAGCUUGUUGGUGGGGNGAUGGCCUACCAAGGCGACGACGGGUAGCCGGCCUGAGAGGGCGACCGGCCACACUGGGACUGAGACACGGCCCAGACUCCUACGGGAGGCAGCAGUGGGGAAUCUUGCGCAAUGGGCGAAAGCCUGACGCAGCGACGCCGCGUGAGGGAUGACGCC